UUUAUCUAUUUUAAUAAUUAAUAAAUAAAGAGUCUCUCUCUCUCUCUCUCUCUCUCUCUCUCUCUCUCCGUAAGUCAUAUCUGUACCUCAACGGCUCAACCCACAUCUAAAAACCGUACCUCUCUCAAGAUCCAUCUCGCUUAUUGAUUCCUUCUUGCUUUAAACAACCUCAACAUGAAAAAAUCAGCUUUUGAUCACACCCAGAACCAUAAAAGGUCUCACCGUGUAAAGAUUGCAGCCUACACAUCAAUGGCGUUUGAGGUUGGACCAAGAAGAGCUUAGAGCCAUGCGAUUUUAUGGAGAGAUACCCAAAAAACUUCAAUUGAUAUAUGUUGAUGCAGAAUCAAGAAAAUUGAAACUUUGAAUGAAAAGGUAGUUCAAGAUCCGAAGGAGGUAGUCGCAUUGAAGAAAAUUGAAACUUUGAAUGAUAUCUGUUAAGACCGCCAUCUCUAUUGUCAUCGUUCUUUUGGGUUUGAUUAUUCAGAGGAAGGUUAAGAAAUAAAGGUACAACCCAUUGAAGCACUUGGGAUUUUGGUUUCCAAGUCUUGGUUUUUUGGUUUUGGUCUCGUAAAUGCAACCUCCGAUUGGUAAAUAAGAAAUCGAGUUUGAGCUUCCAUCUUCACCCCUGUUUUCCAAAAUCCAAAAUCCAGAAUCACCUUCAUUGACCCAUCUCUUGUUUCCUUUCAUCUUCACCUUUGUUUCACUCACUUCUUAGUUGCCCAGAUCUGGGAGGAUAACGAAUCAUCGUCUUAACUAGGAUGAUGGUAAUGAAUCUGCUGAUGAUGAACAUUCGAUGAAUCGAUGCAUGGGGGUAGGAUUCGGAACGUGCUCUGGCGGUGGAGGCUAAAGUUGUAGCGGCGGUUCGAUUCAAGGGCUCCGGAAGCAGUCUGGCAAUGGCGGUCUAGAGUGAUUUAGGGUUUUUCUUCAAAAAGUAUUUUUUUUUCUUGUUACGAUCAAAGAAAAAAGAAGUAUGUUCUUGUGUGUGUGUGUGUGUGAGAGAGAGAGAGAUGUGGACCCAAAUUAGUUAUUUAUUUAUUUUUUGCUUUAAAUUUAAUAGAAAAAAUAUAUCAGAAAGGGCAUUUUAGUCUUUUCAAUUUUCGGAGGGACUAAAA